GAUGAACGCUGGCGGCGUGCCUAAUACAUGCAAGUCGAGCGAACGGACGAGAAGCUUGCUUCUCUGAUGUUAGCGGCGGACGGGUGAGUAACACGUGGAUAACCUACCUAUAAGACUGGGAUAACUUCGGGAAACCGGAGCUAAUACCGGAUAAUAUUUUGAACCGCAUGGUUCAAAAGUGGAAGACGGUCUUGCUGUCACUUAUAGAUGGAUCCGCGCUGCAUUAGCUAGUUGGUAAGGUAACGGCUUACCAAGGCAACGAUGCAUAGCAGACCUGAGAGGGUGAUCGGCCACACUGGAACUGAGACGCGGUCCAGACUCCUACGGGAGGCAGCAGUAGGGAAUCUUCCGCAAUGGGCGAAAGCCUGACGGAGCAACGCCGCGUGAGUGAUGAAGGUCUUCGGAUCGUAAAACUCUGUUAUUAGGGAAGAACAUAUGUGUAAGUAACUGUGCACAUCUUGACGGUACCUAAUCAGAAAGCCACGGCUAACUACGUG
rnacentral:rRNA from 1 species